rnacentral:lncRNA from 1 species
GCAGAGUGGAACAUGGCGGCCUCCUUGCCGCUUGCGUUACCAGAGUCCACCCGGCCUCGUGCUUUCUCCGGGCGCCCGUAGCUGGCGCCGGCAUCCACAAAAAUAGAUCAGACCCUGAGAGCCUACUGACCACAGCAGCUCCUGUUACCACGGCUGCCGUUUCUGCUCUCAAUGCUACUGCUCAUUGAUCCCAGGGAGGAAAAUUCUGGUGCAUCACUUAGUAUUUAUUUCAGAUUUCAACCAAAACAACAUAUUGCAAGAUUGAAUGCAGAAGUAGAUGUGAGAACUCAUUCUAUUAAGCCAAGCGUAAAUGUUUAAAAAUGUAAAAUAAUACCACUCUUCUGAUAUGUUUUGGGAGAAAAUAUGUUUGUGGAAAAUAUACCUAUCAAAGAAAUAUCAGAAACCUUCCAAACUGAAGGACAUGUGUAUCCAGAUUAAAAUGACCUUCCAAAUGCUUAACAUAGUAAACAAAAAACAGGAGGAAAAGGAGGGGAGAAAAGAAAAAAAGAAGACUCACACAAGGCCGUGUUACGACAUUUCAUCAUACCAUAGAUAAAUCAGAUCCUGAAAGAUUUCAGAAAGGAAUAUGAGAUCACACAUAAAGGAACAGGAAUCAAAAUGACAUUACCCUUCUCAACAACACUGGAAGCUCCAAGAGAGUGCAGCAAUGCUUUCAUCCUCAGAGAAAAUAAUUAUCAAUACAAAAUAAUAUUCCCAGCUAAGCUAUCAAUCAUGAGGGUAGAAGAAAGGCAUUUUUAGCCAUUGCGUGGGAGUGCUAUAAUAAUGGUCCCAGUGAACCACACCUCCCUGUAUCCGCACCACUUUGCAAUGAGAAAUUUGCUGUUUCUCCUAGUGAGAGAGGGAGUCUAUUUCUUUACCCUUGGGCCUGGGCUGGCCUGGUGACUUGUUUUGACCAAUACAUGGAAGAAGUGACAUUAUGUGAGUUCUGCAGCUGAAGCUUUAAGAGGCCUUGAAGUUUCUCCUCACCUUCUUGGAACCUUGAGACCACCAUGCUGUGAGAAGCCUGGGCAUAUCUACUGGAGGCCGAGGGGCCACAUGACACGUCUAAAACUCAUACGUCAAGAUAUGGUAAUAUAAUGUGAAAUUCCUAGAGCAGCUUAAUGCUAGUCUCUAUUUGGCUACCUUUUUCUUUAGAAUUGCUUAUAUAGUUAGUGUAUGAGAUUUUUUGUUAUAUUUUGCAAAUAUUUUCUCUCCAUUAUAGCUCAUCAUCUUUUAGCUUUGUUUAUGGCAUGUUUUUAUGAUAGAGAAGUUUCAUUUUUUAUUUUUAAGUGGUUACAUCUAUUAAUAAUUUCCUUUGUGUCUCUGAGGUUUUGUUGCUUAAGAAGGACUUCUCAAAGAUUUAACCUUAUUUUUUACUUAAAGAGCAAAAAAAAAAACAAAAAACAAAAAACAAAACACGAUCACAAUAUAAGCCAGUAUAAGCAACUGGUUCGUGCAGGAUGGUGGUAGUUAUCAAAGAGAGCGGGGGGUCUAAAGCUCUAAGGAGUCGUCUGGAGAAAGCCAGGCAGAGACUUGCUGCUUUUCUAUUCUACUUCUUUCCCUUCUCAUCCAGCUUGAAAGCUGCACCCAUCAAGUGCGUCCUGAAUCUGACGAUUCACUAUCUUCACUUCCGCCAGUCUGCUCCAGGCCUCCAUCCUUUCUGGCCUAAAUGAACCCCAAAGCUGGCUUGUGUCCUGCAUCCAUCCACCACUCUUGCCCUUGUUUCACUUAUCUAUUGCUGUGAAAUAAACUUCAAAACCAAGU